GCUGCUGGAAGCCAGGGAGAGCAAGAAGGAGCCCUGAACUUGUUGCAGGGACUCCAUCAGGACAAGGCCCUGAGGCCUGCACUGUUCACUGGGGAUGGCACGGAGGCUGAUAAACUCACCUUAUUUUGGGAUUCCAGUCUGAGACUGUCCAGUUUGGCCGAUGUACAUAGCAGAG